UCAACUGACUGAGGAACCCAGGCAUCCCUACUUAACAUUUAUUUUAAAGUCAUUUUGCAUAUUGAUGAAUUAUUUUCCCAAAGGCCCAUAUCCAUUUAUACCGUCACCAACAGUAAAGGAGAAUUCACCUGCCUCAAGACAACUUCACCACUCUUUUCUCCUACUGCACGUGUCGUUCUCCACAUUCUCCUUAACCUGGGACCAGGUUUUGGGAAGAGCAUUGGGUGAGAGAGAACUGGACACUGGAACAUCCCUAAUUACUUGGGCUGUGUCACACUGGUAACUUCUAUAAUCAGCAAAUGUGAGCGGUACUAGCAUGGUAUUUAAGUGUAAGGACACUGAAGUCAGACAUUCAUUUCCUCAACAAAUAUUCAGUGAGUGCCUGUGAUUUUAGGAACUUCAUAGGCUAGCACCGUGUUAACAGUGAUGAAGAAAAUAAAUAUGGUUCCUGGCUUCUUAAAGCAUAAUAUGUUUAACAGUCAAUUUUUAAAAAGCAAGAAAAUGUAAUAAAUUGUGAACAAGUAUGGGAUGAAAAAUAAUUGGCUUCUAUUUAGAGAAAAAGAUAGGACCAAACUUAGAUCGGGGCAUCAAGGAAAGAUUCUCUGAGGAAGUGAGAUUUGAAGUGAGUCCUGUGGGAUGAGGUAGAACAAAGCAGUUGAAGAAGAGAGUAAACAAUAGAAGACUAGAGUGAAAAAGCAUUCUGGACAAUGAGAAUGGCCCAUCCAGCAUCCCAGAGAUUGGAAAAGGCUUAGCACCUUUCAGGACCAAAGAAGAUCCAUGUGACCAGAGUGUCGUGAACAAGGAGAGAGUAGAAUGCCUUACAGUUAUGAGGUAGCCCUGUCACCUCUACCACCAAAAUGGCUUGCAAAUGUAUCUCCAGGGCACUGCCAUUUCCAGGCUAUACCACCACCUUUGCCCUGGCCUUCCUGCCUCCGCUCUACCCCUCUUCAACCCUCUCUUCACACAGAGCUGAUAUUUCUGGAACGUUAGUCACAUUAAUUACACCAUCUCUCUGCUUGGAACCCUUCAAAGGCAUCCUAUUACACUUGAAAUAAGAUUUAAGUGUCUGGACCCUUGGGACAGACUAAGAGUCAUGUCCUAGUUCCACUACUUUUUGUGGUGCUCAAUUUGCUCAAGCUCAGUUUCUUCAUCUUUGUAAUGGGAAUAAAAAUAAUCUGCAUAACAUGGGAGUGUUCAUGUAGAUUAAAUGAGAGAAUUCAUGUUAAACAACAUAAUUCCUGAUUUGCAAUAAUCACAUAAUAAAUGUUGGCUGUCAUUUUCAUAAUCAUUAAGAAAAUGACCAGGGUUUCUAUUGAAAUUGUUCCAGGUAGGUUUGAAUUUAAGUCGGAAUUGCAGAAACCUUGCUAUGGAGCCCCUUCCCUUUAAAUUUACUUGGAGUUCUAAUAAAAACUCUAUCCUAUGAUCACCGGUUUCAAACAUGAUGCCAAUCUAUCUCACUUUUAAUUUUUUAUUAACAUGGUAAGAUAAUCUAUAUCUUAUAGGAUAGAAUCAGAAUACGAAAUUUUUCUUCUAGGACUCUCUUUCUGUAUAGCUCUCCUGGCUCUGACCAAUCUUUUGCUCUAACUCUAUUCUUUGAAUUUCUAUCUCUUACCUUAAACAAUGUCUUCUACACCUUAUUCAUUAUUCCAGGGGUCAGCAAACUAUGUUCAGCCCAUCCUUUGUUUUUAUCAAGUUUUAUUGGAACAAAGCUAUGGUAGACAGACUCCCAGUCAUCCCUGCCUUUUGGUAUUCACAUCUCAGUACAGUCCUCUGUCCUCGACUGUGGGCACCACCUGUUACUUGUUUCUAACCAUGCAAAUGUGGCAAAGGAAAUGGGGUGUCCCUCCCCUGGUUGUUGCAUUAUGUAAAACUCUAUUGUGCCGUGAAACUUACUCUAGGGAUUUUUUCCCUUGUUGGCUUGGAAGAAGCAAGUGGCCAUAUGGUGAGGAACUGUGGGUGACCUCUAGGAGCUGAGGGCAACCAGCAGCUGGCAAGAAGCCGAGGCCCUCUGCCGGCAGCCCCACAGCCACGGGAAAUAAAUCGACAAACAACACAAAUGAGUUAGGAAGUGGACUCUUUCCCAGUCAAGCCUGCAGAUGAGAAUGUAGCCCCAACUGACCAUGAUCGCAGCCUUGUGAGAUUCCACGGGAAGGACUCAGACUCCUGACCCAUGGACUAAAACAUAGAUCUGGAGCUGGGUCAGCUUUGACUGAGCAGACGAGGAUAAUGCCAUAAGGGGUAGGGAGCAACAAGAUGGCAGGAAGCUGGGUUCCCGAAUGUCCUGUGGAGCAGAGCUGCUAUUAGGUGCUAGACAAGCUGCCGUCUCUACACCAUCACAUGAGGAAUUCAACGUCUCCUAGUAUGUCCUGUACUUUCCUUGUGUGAUCCAAAAUGAUCAGGGGAGUAAUCAAAAAUCAGCAAGUUUGGAUGCAUCUCCUUUCUGGACUCGCGGAUGACCCAGCGCAGGCACGCCUCACCCCACAGGCUUGGAGGACUCUGGGAACGGCCACCUUGGCUAGAGAAAAACCAGCUACAGAGGAUCGGUUCACUUCUCUUCAGUUUCUCUCAAGAAUGUUGGCCCGUUAUCCUCUCAGAAAGGAGAUCAGGACUGGAUAUGCUAUCAGAAUUCAGCGCUGGGCAAUUUAUUGGAUGAAAUAGCUCUAAGAAUUGCUGCUGAGGUCUCUCCGGCAGUGGAUUCUCUUUCCAAAAUCCUGAUAUGUUCCAGCCAGAGCUGUUCACAGUUCUGCAGGGUGGAAAUCUGAGGUCACGGUGCCAGCAUGAUCAAGAGCCCUCUCCCAGACUGAAGACUUGUGUCCUCACAUGGUGGAAGGAGGAGAAAGAAUGGCUGCAGAGAAUUACAAUGUUGUGCUGAGCCAAACUAGCAUCAAAGUUGAAGGGCAGAAUAAAAUCCCUGGCAUGCAAGGACUCGACCCCCACAGACCCUCUCUGAGCAGAUACACUCGACUGUUUCUAGCAAGAAGAAAAGUCACCCUGAGAAAGUGAUGAAGUCACAGGAAAGUGGAUGCUCCUCAAGCACAGAAUUUUCUGGGUGACCUUUCCGUAAGAAUUGCAUGCAAAUGUCCCAGUGGAAGGUCGUGAUUGGUCUGGAAAGGUUAUCUCCAUUCGUCUAGAUGACCGUCUUCACAAAAGAAGAAAGUUCAGAACUGCGGGCCCGGCCCCGGGCAGCCUUGAAGCCAUGGGGGAGGAAGGUGGCAUUGACCGUGGACCGUCUCUGUGCAUCUGAAGGAUGGAGCUGCCGGCACAGGCAGGAAUGUAGAUCCCCGUUUGGCCACUUAGUGGCUGGGCACAGGACUUUAUCUCCUGCGACUCAGGCUCCUGGUCCCUCAGUGGGGAUCAUAGUAACUAAUGAGGCUUAGUUGGGAUGAGGCGCCGAGGUACCAGCACCAGCAUACUGUACCUGCCCAGAGUGAGUGUCUGCUACUUUUCAUCCUCACGGAAGAGCAUCAGGCUCACAUUUUCACUUCCCAAACUGGGGGAGCUCAGGCAGAGGGGGGUCACGUCCUAUAGCAUCAUCCUCGAUGUGAGCCACAACUUUCUGCCUCCCAUCCCAGACGCACAGUCCUCUAGCUGGCUGGGUUGGGGCCUUUUGCACCCUGACUUCUGCUCCUUUGCCGCUGUCCUCCCCCUCCCUCCCCUCUCCGCCUGUCCUCACGUGCUGGUGGAGGUCCCACUCCUCUGCGGAGCCUCCCCCAAGUCCCCCAGAAGGAUUCCUAGAACAUCAUUAGCACCACUUGUCUCUUAGCCAGUGUAACACGGUGACACUAAUUAGCUGCUGCUGAAUCCACAGCGCCUCUUAAGCCAGGGGGCACGAGGGGCUUUCUCUGGGUCUUUACAUUUUCCUCACUACCCAGCCCAGGGCCGGGCUCAAAAUAGGUGCUCAGUCAACGGAGGCUAAUGCACAGAGCGCUGUAAAAAUACAGAGUGGCCUGAAAACUGGCCAGAAGACCAGAGGUCAUCGGGAUUGUGUCUGGAAUGGACUGAGCACCUUCUAGGCCCAAGAAUGGGGCAGUGGACAAAACACACAGAGAACGAGAAUGCACGCACGGCGCUGGGACCGGCAGUUCUUCCACUGGUGGGAGUGAGGGACGCGGAGGGGAAAGGUCACCAUGCUCUUGACAGGUAUCAGGGUGGUUUGUACUCGAGCUGCAUUGGCGCUACAGUCCCCUGAAUGCCCUGUCCUGUAUGGUUCCAGGUGAGCCCUGGCCUCAUGAGGCCAAAAUUGGGAAGCGCAAGGUAGAGCAAGAACCGGAGUUCUCAAGCUCCGAAUGUGGUGCGGGGCGACCAGCUACCAAAUGGGCUUGUGCACACUGCCGCUGGCGCCGCCGGCUAACCCGGGGGGUGCGGGGCAGCCCCUGGCUCUGGGAGUCUUCUAGCUCCCACCAGACCUCCUGCAACUUCUCCAGGUCCAGCUCUGCAGCGCGGGGAGCCAGCCUGUGCUGCAGGUCACCCGCGGCAUCAAGGUGACAAAGGCAAAGCGGGUUCCACUCCCCCUGCAGGUUCCGGUUGUCCUGUGAGCCUCGGCUCCCCUCCGCGAUUCUAGUUUGUUCUUGCUGUCGCCCACAUCCCGCUUCUCAACUGAUGACCUGGCUGACCUCUAGUCAUGCACCCCCAGUCCAGUCCAGCAUAGAUCUAGCCCCUGCACAUGCUACAGAUCCUUCCUUGGGAGAUCAACCACAACGGUUCUGCCUCUCUGAUUCAACGCCGCCUGAUCCCAGGGGCAGAGCAGAUCACAUUUGCAGACCCUCCUACCGACAGGUACAGGGCUGGCCAUGCCUUGUUGCCUAAGGGGUUUCACGUGCACUGAGUCAGCAUGGACCCUGAAAAUCUCCAUCACAGAGGUGAGGGACUGGGGUGCCCAGCGCUCCCUGUCUCCCCUGGGCCGUUCAGGUCGGGGCUGGGGUUGAUGCAGAAGUGGUGGGACUUACUCAUGCGCGUGACCAGCGCUGGAGGAACAACCUGAUCAUCAAGGAAUGGGUGUGAGAAAGAUCCCAAAGGUGCUCCAGGUGGCCAUGACUGGCAGGGAGAGGUGCACUGCUUUCCUUUUGGUCCAGCAGAUGGUUGCCUGGCUUCCGUGAGAGAUGCCUGGGAAUCCCAUUUCCCAGAUUCAGGGGAUGCAUUUGCUUUCAAAGCAGCAGCAACGACAGCUGGACCUGGUCCUCGAACAAGGAUGCGCGGGUGCCUGCUGGGGCCACAAGGAUUUUCAUAGGAGUUGGCCCUUGGCAUGCAGCAUUGGAGGGCGCUUUCGCGCGGGGCCAAACAUGGUGCCCCAGAGCAGCAAGGCUGCGGGGAUCCCAGGCAGGUCGGGAUGAGGAAAGACAUCCAAAAUGGAUGUAAAAUAUGCAACAACAUAUAUAUUCACAUGAGGAGAACACAGGGACGUGGAGAAAGGAAAGAAAUGGAAACCGUAAACCUCCCAAGACGCUGGGUUCUAGAGUGAUAAAAUGAAACCCUAUGUCUGUCAUCAGAGUGCCAUAAUUUUAUCAUCCUUCCCACGCAGUGCUGUGCUAUUUUGGGUCCUGGUUUGUUGGUUUUGUUUUUGUUUUGUUUUGUUUUUUCCCCUCUCUCACCUCUGUGUGCCCAAGAUGUCUGACAAACAAACGUGUAAGAAAAUGCUUUAUGUUCCCCAGCACGGAUGGAGAAUUUAUUACAGGAAACGCCUCUCCGAGCUGCCUCCCCGGGGUCAUCAUGCUCUGCCCUGUAAAAAGAUCUCAUCUGAGAGCAUAAGCCUAAUUAAUUUGCCCAUGAUGGUCUUGUGCCCGGGGAACCGAAACCCUGUUGCUUUUCACUCGGAGGAUUCUUUCUCUAAGCCACAGAUCCAAGCCAAAUGGAAAAAACCUGCCAGCCUCCCUUCUUGCAAAGACAAUGUGCCUCCCCUCCCCCGACACAGUGUCCACGCUUUCUCUGUCCUGCUUUGUCUAAUUUCCUUUGUAAAAGGGGGGGGGGAAGAACAAAAAAGGCAAAACAAAACAAAAGAAAGAAACUUGGAACUCUUUUGAGGACAAGGAAGGAGAAGCCAGAGGAAGUUGGAAGCAUUUGAUGUUAUGGGAUUACGAUCUGUUCACCUAAGUGAGUUACUGAAUCAAAUGAACAAUCCAGAGCCUGUAGAAGCCACCGGUCAGCCUUAACCGUGCCACGCCUUCCCUCUUGGCCUUUCCAGCCAGGCCUCCUCUGCUUCGGGACAUCUGCAACCCUCUACCUGGGCACCUCUUCCCGCCUUGGAUGAUGCAGGAGCUGCAGGCUGCGCCCCGCAGGCUCUGGGAGGGGUCUCCCCACUGCACCUGCGUUGUCUGGGCAAGUAAGCGAGGGGCCAGCCCACCUUGGGGGACAUCAGUCUGCCUGGAGCCCUGAGGCGGGGACACCCCUGCACAGAGCCCACUGGAGACUAGGUUGUUCUGGCAAUGGUAUUUGCAGCCACAGGCCCGGCCAUGAAACUUAAGGAGAAAGAAGCUGCCAUCCAUCUCCAGUAGGGAGGGCCCGGGACAGGGCAGUAGGCUGGUCACCAGCCAGCCCGAACAGCCAUCUGCUGCGAUCAAAUCAUUUCUCCUUGGAACAUGGUGACACUUCACCGUAAGAAGGGAACUGAGCCAUUUUGGGACAUCGGCUUGGGCCCAUUCCAGCUCUAGUAAUAAAAAGUUCUGUUUCCCCGGGAGGGUUUAUGCAGUGAGAGCAAAAGGGCUACGGCCAGGCGCCCCCAACCCUCUCAUUUGUCCUCCAGUCCCCAGGCAGAUGCUCUCAUAUCCUGCCAUUUAUAUGCUUCUCUGUGAGGGAGUCAGACCUAAAUGAGCCCCACAGUCUGCUCGGAAGAUUUAUUUUGCAAUAUAAAAUGCAUGACCUCCUCUCCCUAAACCACCUUCAAUCCUGCCUCACGUGAUUCCCCUUGAACUCUUUACCUGGACGUUUACCAUUCCUGGGCAAGCUCUGUGUUUUCUCUGUGUCUUCUAAGACCACAGCAUGUCUACACGGAGAUCUCCUCCAACAUUUCAGUUCCCCAAACGCAUCCAUUCUUAAGUUUGGGCACAAAUGCUACAUCCUCCUUGAAGCCUUGGCUGAGACCCCAGUGCUCCUGCCCCCUCCAAGAGGGGAUCUUCUUUUUUAGAUUUCCCUAGAAUUCCCCUAUUUGUGGUAGCCUAUUUUAGGGGUCCCAUUCAUUUCUGCACCAUUUAGUGGUUUCUAGCUACAUGGUACAUUAUUAAGUACAUGGAUUCUGGAGGCAGAUUUUCUGGGUGCAAACCUGAGCUUAGGUAUUUACUGUGUGACCUUGGGCAAAUGGUUUAACCUGUCUGUGCAUUAGUUUCUCCAUUUGUGAGAGGGGGAUAAUAACUACCACGUAUGACUGUUGUACAAAUUAAAUGAGCAAAUUUAUGUUGUGUGAAACUAUUACUAGCAAUGCUCAGGAAAGGUGGUUGUGUUUAUUACCAUUAUUGUUAUUAUUAUUAUUAUUAUUAUUAUUGUGGCAGGGGUCCAUCCUGUCUAUCUACCACAUAGCGUUUUGCAUAUUGAUGCAUGUUUAUUUAUAAAUAAGUAGAUGGCCAAUGGAUCCAUAAGACUUCCAUUCCUUACAAGUUGAUCCCAUUUUCCUCCAUUAGUUUUGAGUUACAUGGGACUUGAUCAAACUGAUUUGGACUUUACAUGGUAUUAUGAACACACUUUGUAAAUAUAAUGUAUGAGAUGAUCAUUCUUUCUACCUCAGCAUGCCAUCUCAUGCUGCCACUGCCCAGAGGCAAUAUCGAGAUGCUCUUGAUGGCAUUGUGUGGAGGUGACAUAAAGCCACUCCUGGCCCUCUACGCAUCCAGAGUUCAAAUCAAGCCUUCUAACAAUAGGUGAAUAAUAAACAAAUCAGGGCACCUGGGUGGCUCCAUUGGUUAAGCAUCAGACUCUUGAUUUUGU